rnacentral:rRNA from 1 species
UACAGAGGGGGCAAGCGUUGUUCGGAAUUACUGGGCGUAAAGGGCGCGUAGGCGGCCCGCUAAGUCGAACGUGAAAUCCCCGAGCUCAACUCGGGAACUGCGUCCGAUACUGGCGGGCUUGAAUCCGGGAGAGGGAUGCGGAAUUCCAGGUGUAGCGGUGAAAUGCGCAGAUAUCGGGAGGAACACCAAUUGCGAAGGCAGCUCGCUGGGACGUUACUGACGCUGAGACGCGAAAGCGUGGGGAGCAAACAGG